AACGAACGCUGGCGGCAUGCCUAACACAUGCAAGUCGAACGCCUGUAGCAAUACAGGAGUGGCAGACGGGUGAGUAACACGUGGGAAUCUACCCAGUAGCUCGGAAUAACCGCGGGAAACUGCGGCUAAUACCGGAUAAGCCCCGAGGGGGAAAGGAGCAAUCCACUAUUGGAGGAGCCCGCGUGUGAUUAGCUAGUUGGUGAGGUAGCGGCUCACCAAGGCGACGAUCAGUAACUGGCUUGAGAGAACGACCAGCCACACUGGGACUGAGACACGGCCCAGACUCCUACGGGAGGCAGCAGUGGGGAAUAUUGGACAAUGGGGGAAACCCUGAUCCAGCAAUGCCGCGUGGGUGAUGAAGGCCUUCGGGUUGUAAAGCCCUUUUGUCGGGGACGAUGAUGACGGUACCCGACGAAUAAGCUCCGGCUAACUUCGUGCCAGCCGCCGCAGUAA
rnacentral:rRNA from 1 species